CGUCAAAUCAUCAUGCCCCUUAUGACCUGGGCUACACACGUGCUACAAUGGAUGGUACAACGAGUCGCUACCUAGUGAUAGGACGCUAAUCUCUUAAAACCAUUCUCAGUUCGGAUUGUAGGCUGCAACUCGCCUACAUGAAGUCGGAAUCGCUAGUAAUCGCGGAUCAGCACGCCGCGGUGAAUACGUUCCCGGGCCUU
rnacentral:rRNA from 1 species